GGGGGAGAAUUGCAGCCCAAGGCUGGUGCAGGAGCUCAGCAGAGCAGCUUGGAUUCCUCUGGGUCAGGAAGUGCCAGGAGGAUGGAGGUUUCCUUGCAGAUUUGACUUUGGACCCUGCAGAGUCCUGACUGGAGGUUUUCCCACAUCUCUUCCAUGCAGUGCCUCUGAAGGACAGUGAAACAGGAGCUCAGCCUGCAGGCACUCAGUGACCUCGAGGGAAGUGCAUGGUCUGGCAGCUGACAGUGGGGACAAGGAGGUGUCUGAACACCUGACUGCCUUAUGGCUCUGCUGUCUCAACUCUCCUCCAGCAACUCCUGUGCUGCCCUGAGACCCACUCUGCUACAGUGGCAGUGAGCAGAGACAUGCUGAAGGCACAAGGUCAGUGGAGAACAGACACUUGCAUCAGUCCUUCAAAGAUGUGGUGUUCAAAACCCAACCUUUGGGACCAUGUCCAUCCACCCAUCAGCAUCAACAGAGCACCCAGCUGUGGGAAACACACCCUGUGUAAAGCCUUUCCCUGCUGCUGUCCCAGGCAGGCCAGGGGCCCGUGGCACAGUGACUGCUUUCUUUGCAGGCUGCAAGGUGUUUCCUGACAGGAGCCCAGAGGCAACCUCCUCUCCUCACCAGCAGUAUCUGCCAGCAGACAGCUGGACACCAUUUUCCAUGCUACUUUAAAUAGCAAAGACCUUACAAUAA